CCUACGGGUGGCUGCAGUGGGGAAUAUUGCACAAUGGGCGCAAGCCUGAUGCAGCCAUGCCGCGUGUGUGAAGAAGGCCUUCGGGUUGUAAAGCACUUUCAGCGGGGAGGAAGGCGUUAAGGUUAAUAACCUUGUCGAUUGACGUUACCCGCAGAAGAAGCACCGGCUAACUCCGUGCCAGCAGCCGCGGUAAUACGGAGGGUGCAAGCGUUAAUCGGAAUUACUGGGCGUAAAGCGCACGCAGGCGGUCUGUCAAGUCGGAUGUGAAAUCCCCGGGCUCAACCUGGGAACUGCAUUCGAAACUGGCAGGCUAGAGGCUCGGAGAGGGGGGUAAAAUUCCAGGUGUAGCGGUGAAAUGCGGAGAGAUCUGGAGGAAUACCGGUGGCGAAGGCGGCCCCCUGGACAAAGACUGACGCUCAGGUGCGAAAGCGUGGGGAGCAAACAGGAUUAGAUACCCCAGUAGUC
rnacentral:rRNA from 1 species